AGAUGUCAAAUAAAUCAAACUGUAAUUAAACUAUAUAUUUUCAAAGUCUUGAUUCUGGAUAAAAUCCAACAACAUAUGCUUUAUAAAUAAACACUACGCAUGGCUUUUACACACACACACGUUACAUUGUGAUUUCUUAGUAAAUAUUCUAUUUGGCGAGAGAUAAACUUUAUUGUAUUUAUCCUAGUGAAUCUAUAAUUAAACGGGUAAACUAGCAGUAGUACAUCCAACAUCAAAGAAAGUAAAAUGUUAUUAUCAGGAGAGGGAGAAUGAUUAAGUGGUUAGCAGCAGUGUGCUAGACGAUGGCCCCCUCCAUGAGGCCACCACAGCUCAGCAGAACAUCAUUGUAUCUUCUUCUGGGGAGAAAAACACUUACAGAAAAAAUAAAGUUAACAGCUGAAAUAGCAGGAAAUAAUACAGUUAAAGAGCAGAUUGUAGAAGAAAGAAACCCCUGGGUUAAACUGGUCUGUCUACUGCAUAAUGCUGAACUCUAACAUGUGUCCUCAGGGAAGGACCUGAUUGGUGUCCAGAACCUGCUGAAGAAGCACGAGGCUCUGCAGGCUGAGAUCACAGGUCAUGAACCUCGCAUCAAGGCUGUCACCCAGAAAGGAGAGACCAUAAUGGAGGAAGGUCACUUCGCUGGUUGUUUUACUUGAACUCGCGUCUUUAGCUGAAUGAGGGUGGAGAGACGGGUCGGACCUGGAGCAGGUCGAGGUCUUGCAGAAGAAGUUUGACGACUUCCAGAAGGACCUGAAGGCCAACGAGUCCCGCCUGAGGGACAUCAACAAGGUGGCAUCUGAACUGGAGUCAGAAGGUCUGAUGGCUGAGGAGGCUCCUAUGGUUCAGGCUCAGCAACAAGAACAUCUGGGUUCUGCUCCUGGAAAGGAUGAAGCCGACUCUAACCCCGGCUUUCCACAGGAGUCGUCAGCAGCACGUUACUGCAGCAGCACGUCAUAGCUGCUGAUAGGAACCGCUGUGGUCAACAGAACCUUUUCCACCGGAGCCGUCAGCAGCGCGAGUCGGCCACGUCUCAGGAGCAGCAUGUCGCGGCCCUUACGCGCCGGUUCUAUUUUCUACGCGCGACGCCUCUGAAACGGGUCAAGUUCUACAUUUUUGGGGAAGGAAAGACAGGGUGCUGCUGACGGCUCCCGUGGAAACCCGGGGUAACACGGCGUCACCCUAGAAGACCGUACGGUUGGGCGUUCAGACGACGGCUAACUUUAAUUCCAUCAAGGAGCUGAACAACCGCUGGCGCUCGCUGCAACAUGCUGGGCAGCGCCCAUGAGGUGUAGCGCUUCCACAGAGACGCUGAUGAGACCAAAGAGUGGAUCGAGGAGAAGAACCAGGCCCUGAACACAGACAACUACGGCCACCACCUGGCCAGCGUUCAGGCUCUGCAGCGUGAACAUGAAGGCUUUGAGCGUGACCUGGCAGCUCUGGGUGAUAAGGUCCGCUUUCCUGAUCGGUACCAGGACCCGAGUUGUCUCUGGAGACACGUUCUUCAUGGUUCUGGUGACUCCACCCCAGCCGUUCCUGAUCAGCGGGGUGCUUUCCUAUUUAAGGUGGAUGGAGGACAAAAUUUGACGCCAGAAGAUUGCCUCAGUUUUGGAUUCCUGUCGACCUCAUUGGAUACUGACCUCUACUCCAGGAUUUGGAUAUUCAACACACGGACCUUAUCACCACCCUCCAUAACCCACCUCUCAUCUCACCCGUUGCCCCAUCCACCAGGACGCCCCGCUUCUCUCCACCUCUGCUCCCUCUCCUGCGCUUCCCCCGGCUCUCUACCUCUCCCUCCUCCAGCCAACACAUACACCCACCACAACGCUGAGCUGUUGUUGCAGUUCCAACCACAGACUUAUCUGUGCACCUUAAGUUCCUCCUUAUAAAUAAAUCAUUUUUUCCAUCAGUUUUUGGUCAGUGUUGUAUUCUGCAUGUCUUGGGUUAAGUACCUUCCUCCAAACAUGACACUCCUCCUCAAAGAGCAAAUCUGUUCAGCACAUUCUGACAGACAGACCACCAUUCUUCUGUCAUGAUGCUGUACAGGACAUUUUUAGAGUUUUUCUUUUUAAAGAUAAAUAGGAUUACAUUUAAAUAGCAAUACUUUCACAUUAUCAUUUUCCCACACUUCUGUAUAACUGUAUUUUGUUGUUUUUCAAUAAAGAAUGACAAACUA